GGGCCCGUAGUCUAGCUUGGUUAGGAUGCCCGCCUCACGGGUGCUGCAUCUGGGAUCGCGGGAGAUCCCGGGUUCGAGUCCCGGCGGGCCCA
rnacentral:tRNA from 1 species